rnacentral:rRNA from 1 species
UACUUAGUGGCAGACGGGUGAGUAACAUGUGGGUAUCUACCCUUUGGCCUGGAAUAACACGAGGAAACUUGUGCUAAUACCGGAUAAGUCUUUACGGAGAAAGCUUUAUGCACCAUUGGAUGAGCCCGCACUUGAUUAGUUUGUUGGUAGGGUAAUGGCCUACCAAGACUAUGAUCAAUAGCUGAUUUGAGAGGAUGAUCAGCCACAUUGGGACUGAGACACGGCCCAAACUCCUACGGGAGGCAGCAGUGGGGAAUCUUGCACAAUGGAGGAAACUCUGAUGCAGCGAUGCCGCGUGAGUGAAGAAGGCCUUUGGGUUGUAAAGCUCUUUCGUCGGGGAAGAAAAUGACUGUACCCGAAUAAGAAGGUCCGGCUAACUUCGUGCCAGCAGCCGCGGUAAUACGAAGGGACCUAGCGUAGUUCGGAAUUACUGGGCUUAAAGAGUUCGUAGGUGGUUGAAAAAGUUGGUGGUGAAAUCCCAGAGCUUAACUCUGGAACUGCCAUCAAAACUUUUCAGCUAGAGUAUGAUA